AACUAAAGUGGAGGGCUAUACUGCAAUGCGCGAAUUACAUGGGGAGCCGAUUGGGAAAUAUCCCGCUUCCCCAAAACGCUGCGCAGCAAUAUGGGUCAAAAUGAAGCAAGAGCAAAAUGAAAUGUGAAAUUUGUAAAUAAAUAAAACUGACAUGAAAACACCACAAAGAAAGGGGGACCUUAUGCGCAAAUAGACCAAACGACCAAAAUACGCGGAUCCUUCCCUCGGGUCGGGUCACCGCGCUGGUCGUACGUCUUUAAACGACGCCGUUUCUUUCGUGGUUAAAAAAACUAAACCCUAAUCUGUAAAACAUCUUCUAAUCUAACAAAACAAAAGAAAAAAAACUAACAGAAAAGAGAGAGUUUCGACGACGAACAACUGGAGGCGUUUACCACCGCUUGGCUUCGAUUGCGACGAAACAAGCGACAACAGCAAGCCAGGUAAACUCUCUUCCUUAAACCUCUCAUUUUCUGCAUUUAGUGUAUUCGUGAAGAACCAAAAAAAAGAAAAGAAAGAAAACAGGGAAGAAAAACGAAAAGAAAAAAAGAUGAAUAUACCUCUCGAAACUUCUUUUUGUUUCUUUUUUAUUCAAAAAAUCCCCUUUUACAAUAUGCAUGUUUGGCUUUUAUAGCCAGAAAAAUAAAAUAAAAGAAAAUAAAAAUCCCCUGUUUUUUACUGCUAUUUUCUUUUCUGGUAUUUCUGCUUUUUCCUUGCCUUCUCUGCUUUUUUUUUUGCGUUCGUUUGCUUGUCCUUUGCUUUGCAGGUGUCGUACGAAGACGUGGCGUGGCUCGGCUCGGAGGCGGCUGAGGCUUGGUGCGCGCGAACAAGGAGAGCUGCUGCGGCGCUGGGGCUGGGCAGAGGCUGGAGCGUGUGGAGGCUCGUGGGGCCGAGGGAAAGCUGCGGCGCUCAUGCUGAGUACCUAGGGUUUCUGCAAUUAGGUUGGGCUUUGGGCUGAGUGAUUUGGGCCUGGAGGGUUAGGCUAGUUGGGCUUAAUGGGCUGGGGACAUGUAUUUGGGUUAGGUCUUUUGAUUUAGCGGGCUAGGCUAAAUUUUGGUUGUAAUUUUGGAUUAUUUGGGCUCGGUGGGUCUGUAAAUGGACAUUUGGACUGCUAUUAGUUUUGUUUGGUUUAUUUUUGUUUUUUUUAUUUGAUUUUAUAUUACGGGCCAGGCAAAUUGGCCUAUUACAUAUGUUAUUUUAUCUAAUUUAUACAUUAUUUAAUAAAACAUAUUUUGAUAUAAUAAUUUAAAGCUAAUUUUAUAAAAUAAAUAAAUUAUUAAUAUUAUUAGCUAAUUAAGCCAUUAGUUUAUAGGGUUCUUUUUUUUUGCCAUUCAUUAGUUUACAGGUCGACUCUUUCCACGUUCCAGCAUGCCCUGAAAGACAGAACUGAUUGAUGAACAGACCAUUUUGCCGACGAAAAAAAUAUGAAAAGGAGAAAUGUAUAUAUGGAAUUCUUUUUGUGGCAAUUUGCAUCUGUAGUCGUGAUUCACAAACUUUUUGUGGCAAUUUUCAUUUCUUAUGUCACCGUUGCUGAAAAUUUAAGACUACAAUGACAUUUUAUCAGCAAGACUUUUUGCCAGAGCCACACAAUAAACAAACACCCACUUUGACCCCACACUCGACCUUCAUCACCAUUCAUCAAGUAAAAACAACGCCCUAAAUAGUUUUUAAACCCCCUAAAAGCGUUUCACCAAUUCCCCAACCCUUGUUUAAAACCACCUUUGUUUUCCACAUAGGAUCGCCCCUUUCUCGAUUCUUACAAUAUUUCUUUACACCUAUGAACUGGUAUUUAUCGUCGUUACACAACAUAUUUACGCCGCAGAUGGGGCGGCCACGAAAUGGACUGCACCAACUUCAGAGAGUGCCACCAGGAACGGUUGCAGGUUCACGGUCUCUGUCCCUCCUUCAGCCGCGCUGGUACGGUAAUCAAGUGACUCGUCGUUGUAAAUGUCCCACCAUUUCUGAACAAGCAUCUUAAUGUCUUCUCUUUGCAUGUUAGCCUCCUUCCCUGUGUACCUCCAAGGCUUAGAUCCCUGUUUUUAAUCCCAUGAUUCAGUUAUCAAGACCAACACCCAACGCAUAAUCACACAGUAACACCAAGAAAUUGAUAUGGGAAAGUGAAAUAAUGAACAACUUAGCACUUACCGCAGCACAGUAGUGAACAACUUUCACUUUUUCAAGCUCCACAUUCUCGGGAUGACGCCAUAACAUGGCGAGAACAAGGUUGUAAAUUAAAGGAAUCGGCUUGUAAAUGUCCUUAAAGAACAUUUUCAAAAAGUCCUGCAAUAGACAGAAUGUCAAAAUCAUUAUUGUUUAACCCCACAUACACUCAUUUUCCUUAAAUUUUUUAAAUCAUAAACAGCUUCCAAUUCAAGACUUACCUGCUCCGUAAAUGGGGUAGGUUGUGUGAUUUUGAGUCUUCAAGAGAGAUUCAUAAGUCACAAGGCUGGGCUCAAACACGAACAUGCCAGCAUUGAAGUAAAGUGAAGGGGGAUUUCCCAUCUCGGCGGGCCACUUCACCUUGUCAGGGCAUUGUUGGCAGUAACCGAUCCUGUAUUGUGGGGUGUGGCUCCAUGUUUUCUCACAGAAGCAAUCAAUUACUGCGUAGAAAUGCCCAUCAGGCAGAUCAAACAGGUGAUCGAUGUUGUCGUAUACCUGAAUGUCGCCGUCCAAGUAUAUCAUUUUACUGUACUCCACGAACUGCACGCAUGAAAUUAACACCCCCACUUUAUUGAAAUGAUUAAUUUAGAUUAAACGUAAACCAACAACAAAUCAUUGUAACUAAGCUCGGAAUCUCAAAAUGUAAGUAGGCCUUAAAUGACACUCUCAGCCAUCAAUCAGAUCCAACAGUCCUUAUCAAAUAAGGGGUAAUCUCGGAAAAAACAAAGGAUUUUCAUGGCAGCUCUAGAAAGUUGAAACGUCAUGCAAAGAUUAGGCAAGCCAAAAUACAAGACAUUCAUGAGAGUCUGCCACGUGUAUAAUUGAAACCAGAAAAUUAGCCACGUGUAAUAGUUAAAAAACAACUUACGUACCUCCCAAAUACGAAGCUUGGAGUAAUUGAUGACGUAAUAGGCCAUGGCGAACUGGGUCUGGUUCUCAGGCGGGUAAACUGGUUCGAUCUCUCGGACGAUACAACCCUGGUUCUCCAGGAUCCGCCUAUGCUCCUCAGGCACGUCGGGUAAAACGGCAACCACUAAAGGGUACGCCGAUUUCACUUUCCUUAACCCUUUGGCAAACCCUACAACGCCUUUCACGUAGUCCCCAUUUCCGGCCAAGAACGUAACAUAUGCACGAUUACGCAAACUGACUUGUUUAGCGAAAACGUUUGUUUUAUCACUGGGUUGAACCAAUUCAGGGGGGGCCAUGGAAAUGUAGCUUGCUAGGGAAGGGGCGAGGACAAGGAAGAAAUGGUUAAAAUAGGAGGAGUGAAGAGAGCAAGAUUUUGGGGACUGCCUUUGCUGAGUUCUUUUUUCUUUGAAACAAUGGGGAUGGUGGGUGCUGUUUAAAUAGAACCUCGCCUCUGAACCUAGACGGUAAAUGGAAAAGAAUAUUUUAUGUUACGGGUACAGUAAUGUAGGAAAGUGCACCGUACACGUGCAUUAAGAUGAUCCAACGGUAGCAGUAUUGGUUCCCAGAAAGUUCUGUAUAGUUGCCCAUAUUAGCUCUACUUUGUUGCAAAUUGCAUUGGAAGGCGCUAGAAGGUCUUUGUUUAUUAGAGGUUAAGUUUUAAUCACAGUGAUUCGGUGCAAAUGUAGGGGGUCUCGGUUUUGUGGCUUAAAUCGAAUCUCUAUGGCAUGAUUAGACCUGUUUAUGGGUCGGGUGGCCCGGCCCGAUGGCCCGUCCGAAAUAUGGGAGGGUUCGGAUAAAAAUAUAGGCUCAAAAUAUGGGAUUGGGAAAAAAAUAAUGCCCGUUUAAAAAAAGGGCUGGGCCUUGGGCACCACUUUUUUAAUCCGAGCCCGGCCCGGCCCAAUCCGAAUAUAAUAAAUUUUUUUUUAUUUUUAUUUUUAAAUUUUAAAAUAUUUUUUUUAUUUUUUAUUUUUAAAAUAACUUUUUAAUGUUUAUUUUAAAAAUAGGCCGGGCUAAACCGGGCUCGGACUUAUGAUAUUAUUUCCGGGCCGGGUCUGAGCAAAAUUUCAGACCCAUAUUUCGGGCCAGGCCCAUGGACAGGUCUAGUCAUGAUGAUGUUAAUAAAAAAACAAAUGAAAGUAUCGAUGGUCAUGAUCAUAUGCAAAGAUGGUUUUAAUUAUUUGGUGGCUAAAAAUUAGAAAUGUAAGAUUUAGUGUCUCUUUGGUGAUAAACUAAAAUUUCUGACCAUAAAUUAAAACAACAAAUACUGAUAUUGUAAGUAUUGGGACACUGUAUAGUAUCGAAGAUGGUGCCACUGCCAUAUAUGGGCCCAGAAUGAAGGCUUUAAAACUUGGAAGUGGAACUGGAACCACAAAUACUGAUAUUGUAAGUAUUGGGACAGUGUAACUUUGUUUUAUGUAUAUUUGAAGUUAAUAAGUAUAUAUUUUAUUUUUCCGAUUAGCAGAGAGAGAGAGAGAGAUUUAAGGUUUUAACUCUUUAAAGAAAUAGAUGUAAUUUUUGUGUUUUUUUUAACAUUGAAGAUAAAAUACUAUCUCUAUAAAAUUUAUAAUCAUAAUAAUUUAUUUGGCCUUCCAACUUUAUAAAAAAAAUCAUUUUAGCAUUUCAUUUAAUUUUUCAUCUUUUUCAGCCCUUAAACUUAUUCUUUUGUCAAGUCACCCCAAAAUAGAUAGAUAAAUUAAUGUAUUUUAACUUUGGUGAUGUGGCAUACACGUGGAUGACACACCAUCAUUUAAUUAUAUUUUUUAAAUUUAAAAAAAUCAAUUAAAUGUUGACAUGUCUUUCACGUGUACGUCACGCCAGAAAAGUUAAAAACGUUAAUUUUUUCAUCCAUUUUGAGGUGAUUUGGCAAAAAAAUACAAGUUUAAGGACUAAGAGAGGCAAAAAAUUAAAUGAAUGGUUAAAAUGGUUUUUCAUAAAGUUGGAGGGCAAAAUAAGUCAUUAUGCCUAUUAUAUAUAAUUAUUCUAAUUGAGUUGAUAUCAUCCUAGGGGGUUUGAUACUUUAACCAUGAAUUUAGUGAACUCGACAGGUAAAUUUUUAAUGGACACUAAAUUCGUGCAAAGGUAUGAAUGAGUUGAACCGAGAUUAAUUAAAGUAGUUAUAUCAGUAUCAAGAAGAGAAAAAGUACCAGUAAUAACAUCGGGUGCAGAGGCAUCCUCACGUGCACGAAUAGCAUACGUCCUUGUCGGUGCUUGUGUUUCAGAUUUAACAGUUGAAUAUUUUAUAGUACCUCGACUACCACUGACAUUGCCGGGGUUACAAGGUGGUCUACCUCUUGUAGCGGAGUUGCUCGGCUUUGAAGUUUGAACAGUAUCUCUUUCAACUUUCUCCAGGUAGUCUGUGAGAUAGUGGUCAUAGGAACCACAUCUAAAACAAGCUCCACUUUUCAUGCGGCACUCUCCAAAAUUCAUUUUAUUAUAAUGUUUGCAUUCAGGUUUAGUAUUUCUAACACUGUCCGCACUUGCUAUAGAUGUAGCCUAAGAUCUUGGAUUAGAGCGUUGAAUACCUCUGUCUCUCCCAGAAUAUCCCAUAAAAGUGGUAAAACAGUCAUGAUUUUUCUUUGUUUUCUUUGAUGCUGACUGGUAUGAUUUUCCCUUAAAUAAUUUACUAGAAGUUUGGGCUUCAAUUUCAACUUGUCUUUUUUUUUUUACUCAAUUCUUCGACUCUGUGAGCUCGGUCAACCAGUACCACAAAUUCUUUUAAUUUCAGAAUCCCAACGAACAACUUGAUAUCUUCAUUUAAACCCUCUUCAAACCGCUUACACAUUGCGAUUUCAAUCGAGGCACAUUAUCUGGCAUAUUUGCUUAGUAAAACAAAUUAUUUUUUAUAUUCAGAUACUGUCAUAUGCCCCUGUUUAAGCUCUAAAAAUUCCUUUUGUUUCUGAUCCAGGAAUCUCUAAUAUACUUCUUUUUAAAUUCAGUUUGAAAAAAUUCUCGUAUGACACUCUUCUUCGGUACAACAGAAGUUGAUGUAUUACACCAUUGAUAAACUGAAUCUUUUAACAGAGAUACAGCACAUUUCAGACAUUCGACAGGUGUGCAAGAUAAUUCAUCCAGAACCCUGAUAGUGUAUUUUAGCCAGAAUUCAACCAUUUCUAGAUCGUCUUCAGCAGUAGCCCUAAAUUCUUCUACACCAUAUUUACGAAUUUUAUUUAUCGGAGGCUUACCAGUUCUAGCAAGUUCAGUACCUUGUUGUAUAUCAAGAACCGGUUGAGAAACAUGAGGGGGAAGUUGUUGUACAACCGAAUUUGUUCGUAAGAAUUCUGUAAACCAUUUGUUCAUUAUUUGAAAGAAGGCUUCUUUAGCCUCCUCACCUCGGCCCUCAGAUACGGGCCCUUCUACUACUUGAAGCUGCUUUUUAAACUGAAGCUUGAGAAUUGCUAUAUGAAAAACAUAUAUGAAUUACUCUGUUGGACAAUAUUACUAUAUGAAAAACAUGUUUAAAAUGGUUAAGGAGAUAUCACAUUAUCACAUAUUAUAUAAUGACAUGUAUAGCUAGACUCGUAUACGCUACGUUAGUCUGAGAAUCGACUAAACCGUAGCUCUGACACCAAUAAAUGUAACACCCCUAACACAUAUCCAUCGCCGGAAUAUGGUUACAGAGUAUUACUGGAGUUUACAAAUAAAAUACAGUUAAUUUAUAUCAUUUACUAUUCAUAUCAAAAAACAAUUAUAUUCAGUAAUAUUGUCCCUUGUAUAGGCCUUCGAGGCCCAAAAUAUGCAUUAGAAAUAAGUCGGGACUAAACCGGGAACUCAGAAAAUUUUUCGCAAAAUUUCAAAUUUUUUUUCCUAGAUACAGGUAGGGGUAUUCAUUCGGUUAACCAGUCGGUUAACCGACCGGAAAUAACAUUAACCAAAUUAACCGACCUUUCAAAAUCUUUAACCGUUAACCGAGCCGAAAUUUUUUCAGUUAAUUCGGUCGAUUAACCGAAUUAACCGAAAAUUAUAUGUUUUUUUAUUUUUGGUUAAAAAUGAACCGAAUUAAUCGAAUUACCCGAAUUAACCGAAUUAACCGAAUUGAGUCCCUACAUAAUUAAAUUAUUUUUAGACUUUUAGACUUUAAUUUUAGUUUUUUUUUUAGAAUUUUAUUUUUAUUUAUUAAAUUAUUUAUAAUUUUUAUGAUUGGGUUGGGUUGGGUAAUUGGGUUGGGUUGAAUACUUGGGUUUGGAUUGAGUUUAGGUGAAUAGUGGGCCUAUUUAUAUAUUAUAAUUUUAUUUAUUCAUUUUUUCGGUUAAACCGAAAAAAAUCAGUUAACCGACAGGUUUCGAACCGAAUUAACCGUUAACCGAAAAAUCAAAAAACAAUUAACCGACCCUUGACCAAAAAAAUUCUGUAAACCAACCGAUUAACCGAAUUCGGUCGAUUAACUGAUUUUUUUCGGUUUUACCCGAAUUUUGCACACCCCUAGAUGCAGGGGUCACACGCCCGUAUGGUGAGGCCGUGUAGACAUUCGAAAUAGGGCACAUAGCCGUGUCCCAGCCCGUGUCCAAUUUAGGUUGCUUACUGACUUGGGUCACACGGCCAAGCUACACGCCCGUGUGCAUGAUCGUGUGUCACACACGGCUGAGACACACGCCCGUGUCUCUGUCCGUGUGAACAAUUCUGAGCAUUCUGUUUCUCAAUUUUUAAGAAGCAGGGGGCACACGGCCAAACCACACGCUCGUGUGUAUGACUGUGUGUCACACACGGCUAAGAGACACGACCGUGUCUCUGCUCGUGUGGACGAAAAUAGGCCAUUUCCAAAGCCACAUUUCUCACCCAAUUUGUUUUCCACCUACAUCAACACUUGAAUACAUUCACCAACCAAUUCAAGACAUUAAAACCAAACUAAAACUAAGUCUUUUACAUGACAUAUUAUCACAUAUAUUCAAGUGUUCAAACUUACCAAAUACACAUAUAUGCAUAUAGACAUAUUUUAUCAAUUAUGCUAACUCAAAACCAUUCAUCAAUAGAUUUAUAUACUUUCCACCAUAUAACCAUUUCAAACACACACAUCAAACAUGUUUAGGCCAUAUAUUUACAUCUCAAAAUAUACCAAACACAAGCCAUACCAAUGGCUAGUUUCAACCAAUAUUAUCCCAUCAUUUGGCCAAUUUAACCUAUACAUGCAAUUAUACCCAAAAAUAAGUUUGCUAUUUAUAACGAAAUGAGUUGAAGGAUAGUAUGAUGUUGCUCAAACCAAUGUCCAAACUUUACGAGCUUCUGAGUACUAUAAAACAGAGGAAAUAAGAUAGAGUAAGCAUUUAAUGCUUAGUAAGUUCGUAUAACAGGAAAUUAACUUACCAUUCAUUUACAUUUAAUGCAAGCAUACGAAAAUGCAUCCAAGCAAAUUUGGCUAUUAGCCUAAACACACAACUUCAUCAAACAUGUUAGUCAAGUAUUUCAUGUGAAUAUCAAUAAUCAGGGAUGAACUCAUCAAAUAUCAAAUUUCCAUAUAUUUUUAGGUGUAUACAAGUAACAUUUUAUCCAGAAUUCAUCUUAACUUAUAUCAGAACUUUGUUCGUUAAACCAUUGAAAUAUCGAUGGAUAUACGGGUAGUACACAAGAAGUGUACGAAUUUAUAAUCCGUCAAUUCAUAUUCGUGAGUGCUCAUUAAAGCACAUAAUCGAGAAGCCCUCUCUCGAGCCAUAUAAUAGGAAGCUCAUGUGAGCCAUGUAACGGGAAGCUUAUCCAGGCUGUAUAACAGGAAGCUCAUGCAAGCCAAUAACGGGUAGCUCCGAAGAGCCAUUAACAGUAAGCUCCAGAUAGCCAUAUAUCGGGAAGUUCAAGCGAGCUAUAUCGGAAAGAGCCGUUAAUCAAUAAGCUCACAAAGAGCCUUUAAUCGGAAAGCUCACGAAGAGCCAUAUAUCGGGACACUCAAAAAAGUUGUAGUGUGUCUACAACACAUGCAGAAUCAUAACCAAUUGGGUUGCUUCGAAAAGCUAUUAACGGGAAGCUCGCAGGAACCAUAUAAUAGGAAGCUCGAGAGGGCUAAUAAUGAGACGCUAUUUUGAGCUAUGGUGUGUCCACAACAUAUGCAGGACCACAACCAGUACGGGAAAUCCUGUAUCCAUCGAGUUUCAUCUAUUCAAACAGGACUUAAUAUUUAUCGGGCUUUGUCACAUAUAUAUAAUUUAUUUCAUGUACAUGACAAUUACACAAUUCAUAUAUAUACAACAUUCAAUUAAAACAUAUAAAUGUACACAAUUUAGUUACAGGAACUUACCUCGACAAUGUUCGUGAACUUGUAUGCUACUAAUCCAUUACUUUUUCUUUACCUCGAUCUAGCUUUGUAUUUGAUCUAUCCGAAUCUAUACGAGUAAAUUUAGCUCAAUCUAAUACAAUUCCUAUUCAAUUCAAUUCAAUUCACAUCCUAGAAAAAAUUACUAUUUUGCCCAUAUACUUUUAAUUAAUGACAUUUCAUCACUAAACUCAGAAAGUAAAAUUCAUGCAAUUUGAUCCUUAUUCCAAGCUUAACCGAUUUUUGCAUAUAACAUUUGCAGCCGAUGUAAUUCAUAAAAUUUAGAAUUUUUCCAUGAAUUUUAUAUUUUUACAAUUUAGUCCCUAAAUCACAAUUUCAUCAAAGUUCACUUUACAAAAGUUGUUUAUCUAUCAACAACCUUUCAUUUUCUACCAUAAAUUUCAUAAUUCAUGCAUAUUCAUCCAUGGAAAAAUGCUAGUACUUUGAUAACUUUACAAAUUAUUCCCCGAGAUAGCUAGAUUAAGCUAUUACGAUCUCGAAAAUAUAAAAAUUACUAAAAAAGGGACUUGAAUACUCACCUUAUUAGGCCAAAUAAGUUUUCUCUUUCUUCAAUUCUCCAUGGCUAGGGUUUCCAUAUUUUAUUUGGGAAAGAUGAUGAUAAAAUGAUGAUAUUUUCUUUAUUUUAUUAUUUUUCAUCUUUCCAAUUUUAUCCUUUUCGUUUUCUAAGUUUCCAUGGAUGGAUCAUCAAACUUAUCUACUAACUCCUCUUAAUGGUCUAUUUGCCAUAUAAGGACCUCCAAUUUUGAAUUCCAUAGCUAUUUGAUCCCUUUAGUUACUAGAAUUCAACUUUUUUAUUUUAUACAAUUUGGUCAUUUUCUCAAUUAAACAUGAAAUCGGUAAAAUUUUUCUAAACGAAAUUUCUAUACUAUAUUCCUAUCAUAAUGCAGAUCAUGAAAUAAUAAUAAAAUAAUUUUUCUUAUGGCCUCGAAUUUGUGGUCCCGAAACCAUUAUUCUGAUUUCACUGAAAACGGGUUGUUACACGACCCACCCGCAUUAAUUUUUUAAGAUUACUUUUUUAUAUAAAAAUAAAUUUUCAAAAUAAAAUACAUCAAAUAAACAAAAAAAAACAUUAAAAUAAAUGUUUCUCAACAAAUUUAAAAUACAUAUAAAAAAGUCUUUAUAUUGAAAUAGCACUAACAUAGUUGCAACAACAAACAAAUGCAUUUAAAAUAGUAGCAAAACUAACAAUAAAACAAGAAUUAUACAAUAUCCAAAUAAUAACAACAAAAUAAUAGCAAUAUAAUAGCGAAAUGGUAGCAAAACAAUAACAUAAUAGUAACAAAGCAGCAACAUAACAACAAUAAACAACAUCAACAAUUUUUUUUUGCCUAAUUCGGGUCGGACUCAUAGAAAAAAAAGUCUUGCCCGAGGCCCGAUUCAUUUUCUAAACUGAUCUUUUUUUUUUGUCUAAGCCUUUUUUUCAGGCUUAUAUUUUUGUCCACGCUCUCCCACUUUUCAGGCGGGCAUUCAGGCAUGAACGGGUGAUCUGACCCAUGAUUAGAUCUAAUUUAAAUUCAAUAUAGUAUAAAAGUUACACUUAAACUUUACUAUUAAACUAAAGUCAUAUUUGAUUUUUAUCUCAAUUUUUAAUAAAUUUAUUAUAUAAUUGUUUUAUAAAUGUUUUGUAAAAUUUAUAAGAGUUGAAAACUAAGGUUUUUAAUUUUAAAUGAACCAACUCUUUCAAAGUCACAUAAAGGCAAAAAUAUUUUUUUAGCAUUUUUAAAAUUUCAAAUCAAUAUAAAUAUAAUUAAUGAGUUCAUUAAAAACAAAAUUUUAUUUCUAUUUACUUAAAGUAAUUUCAAAUUUUGAGAAAAAAUAAAGAUAAAUUAUUUUUAAAAAAAAAGAAAAAAAGUCAGACCAAACAUUAAUUUUUACGUAAGUCUUUUGCCACUAAACCACGAAUUUGAUUAAUUGAUUCCAAAUCCCAAUCAUUAAAACUAUUUUUUUUUAAAAAUAUUAAUAAAUUAUAUCUUAAUUUAAAAAAUUGUUUGUGAAUAAAAAUUGUAUUGUUCUUGCGACUUUAAUUAGCAUGAAAAUCUUGAGUAAUUUUGUAUAAAGAUUUUGUUAAUACAUGUGGCCUUUUUUGGUCAAAUUUUGCAUUAAAUUAAUUCAGAUUGUUUGUUGGGAAAUAGGAUAUAGAAUUGUAAACGGGAAGUGCAUGCCUUAAUCUUUGUAUUUAAAAAACUUACCUUGUUUCCAUCAGCCAGAACAAGGUCUAAUAAUAUAAUUUGUCCACUGCUGCAAUUAGUAUAUGCUUUUAAAAGAGGAUCUUUGAUUAAAUUAAAAUCCUUCCUUAUUAAUUUUCUUUUCUUUUCCAAUUUGUUUGAGGGUUCAUUAUUCUUUCUUUUACAUUUUUUUAUUGUUUCUUAACAGUUAAAAAUGAUUUUAAGUAAUGUGAACAUUAAUAUAGUUGGUAGGUGCACCUAGUUUGGUGCAAUGUCCGAGCACUACCCUGACUCCUUUUUAAGUAUUAAUGGUAACGUGUUCCUAAAAUUAUGCUGUUCUGUCAUGAAAGUAAGUGUUGAAGAUUGAUAUAUAUAUAUAUUUUCUUUUGAAGAUGAUAACUUUUAAACUUAUAUAUUAGAAAACAUAUGUGGAACAAAAAUGCUUUAAAAAAACGUGCUAAUAAUAUAAUGAUAAAUUACAGCAUUGACAAAAUAGUCCUUUGUGCAGGUUUUUGUUACAGAAGUAACUACAAGUGACAUGGUAGAUGACAGUUUGCUUGGUGUCAUUAAUCGUUCAGUUGGCCGGUUAGCACCAAUUUAAACACCAUAUUAGCAACCAUUUAGGGUUUGAGCAGUAGAUUUAGAAGAAGAAGAAGAGAAAAAAUAGAGAUGUCUGGACUGAUUCCAGUGUGCUAUUGUGGAAACCCAACCAAAUUAAACAUGUCUUGGUCCAAUGAUAACCCAGGUAGGAAGUUUUUUGGGUGUAAGAAAUCGAAUUGUGUUGUUGGGUCUUCUGAAAAAAGUGAGGACAUUGGAGGAUGUAAGGAAGAAGGAGAGAAAAAACAUGGUUUCUGGUGCUUGUAUUUGUAACUGUGUUGCUAUCUUUUAAACCCUAAAUCAACUUACAUUGUUGUUUUUAGCAUUGAAAACUAAAUUAUUUAGGACCUCUUAUUGGCCUUAUGAAGUUGGAGUGAAUGUCAAGCUGGGUUUGCAUGUUUGUACAUAAGUCUCUAGGAACUCAUUUCUUAGAUGAAUGACAGCCAGUGCAUGCAUGCAAGGGAUGCCAGUGAGAUCCCAAUUCUUGUAGGAGCAAGAAUUCUCAACUAGGUCCGCUACACACACACACACACAUCUAAAAAAUAAUCAAUGCAUGCAUAUUAAAAAUAGUCAACAGCAUAUGACCAUCUCCACUGACAAUCAUACACAGAAAAAUUAAAAAACACUGCAUGCAUGUUAAAAAAUAGUCAACAACAUGUGACCAGCCCCACCAACAAUCAUACAUAAACAGAUUAGAAAAAACUGCAUGCAUAUUAAAAAACACUCACUAAAACAGUAUGUGACCAGCAACAUAAAGGCAUCAGAAAGAUUAAAAAGGGUAACUUUACCUCAAUGAAUCUUUGAUAUUGACAGCUUUUUCCUGAUCUUUGGACACAACAUUCCUUUCCAUUUUUAGCUUCUUCUUUCUUAUUGGCAAUCAACAACAGAAUAUUGGUCCUUACUAUUUCCAUCAUGGUCAAAAUAGGUUUCCCUCUUACUUCCAGUAUCAUCUUCCAGUAAAUAACAUAAAGGAUUAGUGAAUUUCUAAUGAUUAGUAAGAAACAUAAAAAAAUAAGGGUUUACCUUGUUAAAGGAUUCAAAAAGAUUAUUCACCAACAUGUUAGAAUGGCUUAUAAUUGGGAAGUGAGACCUUGACUAGUAAGUAGUGUUUUUUUUCCUUCAAACAAUCAUAAGCAUGAUGAUUGGUUUUCUUUAGUUCAUCUAUGACAUCCUCAAAAUCCCUUGGAGUGCUUGCUCUGACAGCUUUCCAAAGUAAAUAUUUCAAUUCCUCUGUUCGAAAACAAGCAUUCUUGAAAUUGGCAUGUAGGUGUCUAACACAGUGUCUUGUUUUUGCAUUAGGAAACAACAUAUAUAUUGCUUUUAAAAGUCCAUGCAAAAAGAAAAAAAUACAAUUUAAUUCUUUGACAAACCCUAAACCCUAAAUAAAAAUAAUAUAAAAAAAUAAACAAAUGGAGUUUUACCUUUUGUUUGUCAGUGUAACACCCCCAAACCCCAAACUGUCGCCGGAAUAGGGUUACGAGGCAUUACCGGACAUAUCAGAUAAUUUACAAUAAUUCUUAAAUAAAUAUCAAACAUAUUAAGAUAAAAUCAUAAAUUCAUAUAAUAUUUUACUAAUUGACUUCAUUCAUGUUUUCUUUUUCUUUUUUUAAUUUUUUUUAAAAAUAUUUGGCAGCAUUUCUGCUUAUUUUUACAUAAAACCCCCUGCAAUUUAAAACCAUAUCAUUUUCAAAUAUAACCAAAUCAACCAAUUCAUUUCACAUUCACAUUUUCUAUUCUAAAUACUUCUAAUCAAACUCAAUCAACAUAAUAUCAAUUUAAAAUUUAACAAGGUGAUAAAUAAAUCAAAAUAGAUAAACUUCUUUCAUUAUAAAUCUUAAACUUAUAAUACUAACAUUUUUAACCAUUUAUAAUAAAACAUAAUAACCUUUAUACACAUCCUAUGUACAUGCCACAUUACCAAAAGAAAAUAUACAUCACCAAAGUUAUGCUGAAGCCGGGAUUAAUCUGGAUGCUGAACCGAGACCUUUGACUUCUAUCGACCUGCGCACGGAAACAACCGUACGCUGAGUAUUUCAUACUCAGUGGUAUUACUAUAAUUCAAAUUAUAACAAUAAUGAACAUAUAAUGCAUAAAUCGUAUAUACAAAUUUAAAUUCAAAUUCCAUAUUUCAACAAUAACAAUUCAUCAGUUAAUAUCAUACAUCCACAAUUUGAAUUUGAACAUAUCAUGAACCUUAGGUUCAUUCCUUUAUCUCAUAUCACAUUUCAAUUCACAAUUCAACUUUUUUUCAUUUCAUUUCAGUAGCUCGUUCGAUCAACUCGUUCGGUUUAUCAUUUCAUUAAUUUCCCUAUUAACAAAACUCAGACUUUGGCGAAUACACGGAUCCAACCAAACACACCAGAAUGGCACCCAGUGCCUCAUCGGAUAGUUCGAAGCAAUAGUUGACACCCAGUGUCUCAUCGGCAAAGCCGAAGAAAGUUGGUACCAGUACCUCACGAAGCUAUCCGAAGAAAUAUAGUGACACCUAGUGUCUCAUCGACUCGAGGUCGAAGUAUCCCUGAACUCUUCCAAUCCUAUGGCAUGCCAACUAUAUCCGACUCAGCCCGACUAGUUAAUAGGGUAUUUAAGUCACAUAUAAUCCCAAUUCAAUCACAAUUUCUCACAUUUUCAAUUCAAUCAUUUUUCCACCUUUCAAUCAAUAAUUAAUCCACAAUUCACACGUUUUCACAAUUCACACGUUUUCACAACUCAAUACAUUUCCAUUCAAUUUAAUAUCAGUCACUAUUCAAUUUAAAUUCACUUCCCGCUUUCAAUCAACAAACAAUUUAAAUAUUAAUUCAUAUCAACUAUUCAAUUUAAUUUCCACUCAUCUUAAUAAAAAAAUAAUAGUAAUAAUAAUAAUAAUAUUUAUCUCACAUUUCCUUUACCAAACACAUAAAUUAAAAUUUAACAUUUAAUAAUAAAUAACUUGAAUUAUAGUAAUACAAACCGUAAAUCUCCCGUUUUAGUCCUCGAUAGCUUUCUCCUUUCCCUUUGAUGCUGGUGCCUUGGGUUCUUUGUUAGCUACAAAAAUAAUAAUUUGUACUAUUAAGUACAGUACUAAUUAAAAUAAAUAAUUAAAUUUCUAAUCGAUUCCUACAUUGAUCUCAAUUUAAUCCUAACUAAGUUUUCUUACUUUCCUAAUUCAAUUCACACUCUAUUUUUAUUCAAAUUUCAUCCAAACUCAAAUUUAACUAUUAAAAUUUCAGCAUAUUUUCCUAAUUUCGAAUUUCUCUAAUUUUAGUCCCUAAAAUAUAAAACUUAAGGUUUAGUUUACAAUUCAAUCCUUUAUUCAAUUCCAAUUAAAAUUUCUAUCAAAUAAACCCUCAAUUCCAUCAUUUAUUCAACAUAAACCCUACUAAAAAAAUUAUUAACUUUCAAAUUUUCAACUUAAAUCCAAGAGUAUUUCACUCUAGGAUUCCAAAAACAUCAAAUUUAUGAGAAAAGGACUUGAUUUAACUUACCAAUUAAAUUUCAAGCUUCAAAAACCCUAUUUUCCCUUUUUCUUUCUUUUUCUUCUUUCUCUGUUCUGUUUUCCCCUGUUUCGUCUCUUCUAUUCUGUUUCUUUCCUUUCUUUUUCUUUGUUUUUAUUUCCUUUUUAUUUCAUUUACUUUAUAUUAUAUUAAUUAAUUAUAAGUAUUACAAAUGUAUGUAUUUUAUUAGUACACUUGUAUUAAAUCAUCACCAUACACUUGUCUUCUUUUAUUUUAUAAUAUAAUUAUAACUAUUAAAUAUCUUUUGCUUAUUAUUUAAGAAAUAUACAAAUAGUUUACAAAUGAAAUUUUAUGUAUUUUACACAUGUUUAUAUCACUACCAGGGCAAAACACUAAAAAAAGCCUUUUUUUUUUAAAUUUUCCGAAAUAGGCCAGUUUUUUAAUUAUUUACCGGAAUGGGCCAUUUUCCCCGAAAUCGCUGCCAUAUAAGCGCGAUGUCAGGGUACGUGACAGGUCAGCGCGUCCACGUCAGCGCGACCUGCUGACGUGGAAGGAAAUCACGCCUACGCGCUGACUUGUCACGUAGCGCGUUUCCGGGGACGCGAUUUUGACAUUGAUUUUACGUUGGGUUUUCUGGGUUUUAGGGUUUAGGGUGCAUGUUUUUUAGGGCUUAGGGGACCCGGAAAAAAUUAUUUCGAGUUAACGUUUCUGGUCAAAUAGUAUAAAAUCGCUUCUACUAGGAUGCUAUCAGAGAAGAAAUUGUGAAAUCGUGCCCUCGUGGACGCCAUUUCGGCACAGUUGGUCAUGGAAGAAAUAAUUUUUUUUUGACGUUUUCUGAGCAAAUAGUAUAAAAUCGCUGAUACUAGGAUGCUAUAUGAGAAGAAAUUGUGAAAUCGCGCCCUCGUGGACGGGAUUUCGCUACAGUUGGUCAUGUAGGAAAUAAUUAUAUUUUGACGUUUCUGAGCAAAUAGUGUCAAAUCGUGCCCUCGUGGACGCGAUUUUGCUACAGUAGCAAGUUUGGGCUGAGGCUAUAAAUUAGGUAGAAAAUAUUCUUAGAAUACAUAAGUUAUAGCAGAAACAUUUUAGAGAGGCUAAGAAAGUUAGAGUUUCAAAAUGAGUGAACGUAUUAGUGCUGUUAUUUACUACGAUGGUGAGGUUUGUCACACCAAGAAUGGUGUUGUUUUUUUGUCGGAGAAUACGGUGCGACUGUCAUUUAGCUAAAACAUAGAUUUGACAGAACUUCGUAAAAGAAUUAGGCGUAAAAUCUUCGGAACGACGCCGAUGAAAGUUCUGUCAAUUAUGUAUCGAUUUUGUUCUUCUGUUGAUCCGGUGACAUAUGAGUCGUUCGACAUAAAAGGUCCUCGUAGCUUGGAGGCAAUGGUGCAAACUCAUCUUGCUAGCGGAGCAACUUAUAUUGAGUUAUAUGUACAAUUUACGUCGCCAACUGAUGUAUUUCCGUCUAGUGUUCGAGAUGUAUAUACGACCCUUGGCCGACACUCGGUUAGCGAGUUACAAAAUACAGAACAGCCCAUGUUCGGUAGCGGUGUCGAAUGCACAUCCCCACCAAGACACUCUGUCGGUGGAUGAGACAUGUACGUCGGUGGCUCGACGUUUGACACUGGAAAUAUGAUAUGGGGAACUGCAUCAAGUUCUAGUGGAUGGCAAUCUACAUCCAAUUGGGGACGUUAUCAAAUGCCCAGAAGAAGGGAUGACGUACUACCUACGACAUCAACCGGUGAGGGGACGUCAUACGCUGCAGAUGAUUUUGGGUUAGAAGAUGAGUCCGAUGUGGAUCCACCUCGAGAGUCCGGGCCGGAUGGUGCAGAGGUGGGAUUAUUUUCUGAACCGGAGCCUAUUCCAAUAGAAGGUGAAGAUGGUGAUAGGAGUGCAGAUGAUGAAGAAAAUCCACGAUUCAGAGCAUACUCACCUCCAGCCCAUAUGCAUAAUGUCGAUCUGUCAGCAGAUGAUGCGUUAGAGUUUCCAAAUCUACCACACCGGUUGCGAGAUCGUACAAGUCCGGGGGUAGAUCUCGGUGAACUUGAAGUUGGUAAUCAGUUUACCAAUAAGGAUAGUUUUAUUGGUGCAUUGAAACAGCAUAGCAUUAAAAACGACGUUAAUUACCACGUCGUUAAAUCAAAAUCUGAUAAGUUUAAGGCGAAGUGUGCGGUGCAAGACGGCACAUGUUCAUGGAAAAUCGUCGCCUCAUUAAAGAAGAGGACAGGGUUGUGGGAGAUCAAAAAGUACAAAGGUCCACAUACAUGUGCUGCAGGUACAGAAUUGAAUGUGUCUGAAUAAUAUUUUUAUUUUCCAAUGUCAUCUAGUUUAAUAUACUCCCUCUCUCUGUAGGUGUUUCAGAAGAUCAUCCGAAAAUGGAUUCAGCUAUAUUGGCUAGAUUGAUACUGCCCACGAUAAAAGCAGAUCCUAGGACUUUAGUGCCGGUGAUAAUUGCCAAUAUCCGUAGCCAAAUGGGGUACACGCCCUCUUACCGUAAGGCUUAGAUAGCUAAGCAAAAGGCAUUGGAGAAGAUGCAUAGUGGGUGGGACGCCUCAUAUAAUUAAAUAUGGCAAUGAUGUCAGGUGCUAGAGAGAUACGUCCUAGGUGCUAUCACAAACCUUGAAACGAAACAUGCGUACUACAACGACCAAUUGCUACGUGGAUGCCAAGUGUUCAAACGCCUAUUUUGGACCUUUAAGCAAUGCCAAGACGCAUUUCCAUACUGCAAGCCGUUGGUACAAAUUGACGGUACCUUCAUGUUCGGUAGGUACACUCAUCGGCUAUUGGUUACAGUGGCACAGGACGGCGGUGGGAGAAUUCUUCCAAUUGCAUUUGAAAUAACACCGGGGGAGUCGUCUGAUGACUAGGAUUUCUUUCUCUCUAGGUUAAGGAGGCAUGUGUGCCCCCAACCUGAUAUCUGUGUUAUUUCAGAUCGGGGCGCCGGUAUACUAGCUGCAUUUGAUCGAGAGAGAAGCCUGCGGCAGCGUACACACCAUAGAUAUUGCCUGAGAUACGUUGCUUCAAACUACUACAGGCAAUAUCCAUCUAAGAUCGAACGACGACAAGUGACCAACAUGGGUAUUUACUAUAUAGCUGUAUUAUUUCGUUUGUCAUUUUGAAUUAGUUUUAUUGGUAGAAGUGGUAUUAAAUAUUCGCUAUGUUCUUAUAUUGGUAGGGUAUGAAAUGAAUAAAGAUCAUUUUCACGAGAUGUUGGCAAUCUUACGAUCCCAAAACGGAGAAGGGGCGAACUACCUUUGCAACAUACGUUUCGAACAGUGGGCACAAGCAUACGACGGAGGCCUACGAUAUGGCCAUAUGACGUCGAUCCUGGCAGAAUGCAUAAAUUCUAUUCUUAAAGGAAUGCACCAUCUACCGAUAACAGCGGUUGUGCGAGAGACAUAUUUCCGUUUGGCGGCGCUAUUUCCAAAGCGAGCGACAACUUAUGCAGGCCAGAUGCAGGGUGGGCAUGUAUGGUGCAGUAAGGUAGUUUAAGAAAUUAACAAGGCGAACGCGAGGGCAAACACCAUGCAUGUAGUGUGUCACAAUCGAGACAAUUUAUGGUUUCGCGUGACGGAGUUUGACAGACUGCACCAAGGUGUUGUUGGCGGGCAAUAUCGUGUACACUUGCGAAACAGGACUUGUGACUGUGGGAAGUUCGACGCACUUCGUUAUCCAUGUGCUCAUGUUAUUGCAGCCUGUCAAAAACUCCGUCUGGAUCCGCAGAGUUAUGUGGACGAAGUGUACAAAUUAGAAAACAUGUACCACGUAUAGAGACACGUUUUUCCACUGGUCCCAGAUGAACGUAAGUGGCCGCCCGUAUCUCUUGCCCCUUUUAAGCUGUUACCGGAUAGAGAAUUGCGUCGCAAGCCGAAGGGUCGACCUUGCUCCACUAGAAUACGGAACAAUAUGGAUAUUCGAGAAAAUCCAGUCAACAGAAGUUGUGCGGAUGGUGUAGGAACCCAGGCCAUACAAGUCGAUCAUGCCCUAAUCGCAAUAGUUGAAUGUAAUAAGUGAUGCAAUUACAUUUUAUUCAAUUAUUAAAUGAUAAUUGUAUUAAUUGUUAGUUAAAUUAUCAAAUUACUACUAUUUCUUAAAUGUUAGUACAAGUCAAAACAUUUUACGAAAUCCAACAUUAUGUAAAACUGUGUAAAAUUAUUAUGUUAGGGUUUAGGGUUUUUAAUUAAAUUAGGUUAGGUUAGGGUUUUUAAUUAAAUUAGGUUAGGGUUAGGGUUUUUAAUUAAAUUAGGUUAGGGUUAGGGUUUUUAAUUAAAUUAGGUUAGGUUAGGGUUUAGGGUUUUUAAUUAAAUUAGAUUAGGUUAGGGUUUAGGGGUUUUAAUUAAAUUAAAUUAGGUUAGGGUUUUUAAUUAAAUUAAAUUAGGUUAGGGUUAGGGUUUUUAAUUAAAUUAGGUUAGGGUUAGGGUUUUUAAUUAAAUUAGGUUAGGGUUAAGGGUUUUAAUUAAAUUAGAUUAUGUUAGGGUUUAGGGUUUUUAAUUAAAUUAAAUUAGGUUAGGGUUUAGGGUUUUUAAUUAAAUUAGGUUAGGGUUAGGGUUUUUAAUUAAAUUAGGUUAGGGUUAGGGUUUUUAAUUAAAUUAAAUUAGGUUAGGGUUUUUAAUCAAAUAAUAUCAAAAUAACUUGGAAAAAUUUCUAUGUGUAUUACAUCGUCAUUACAUCAAAUGAUAAAUUUUAAUACGGUAAUCAAUGUCUAUGACCGGGGGAUUCGAUUCCACAUGACGGCCGUCGACGGUUACGCGUUGGAUUCCUCCUUCCUCUAGCUUCCGGCGGCGGUUGUUCUUCCUCCGGUGGUGAUUGUUGUUCUUCCGGUUCGGCAUCUGGUUUUCGGACUUGGGACGAUGAUCCACCUUCAAAGAAUAGUGUAUGGGGAGGUGUUUGCAUCAUGAACAGCGACGGAGUUUGAAAGCCAUGCGUUGCUGGCGAUUGGUAAAAAAGAGAGCUCCCCGACAGCCCCCCUUACGACCUCUCCUGCGUCGCUGGCCUAGUUAUCGGUGGUCCGCUCGGCAUUACAGGAAAUGGAGCUGAUCCGGGCAUUUGGCUCCAACCUGCCAUAGGAUUCAGAAAAGGAUACAUGUACGGGUUAGGGUACAUAUAAGGGCUAGGAAACAUACCUGGCAUCAUAGGGAAAUGCGAAUGCGUGGGUAUCAUUUGUUGAAUUGUUGCGUCAGGUGACUGCAUCGGUGCUCUCGUUGGGGACGGUGAUUGCAUGGCCGCUGAUGAUGAACUGGGUGAAUGUCUGGGCCUCGUUGAGGGGCUGCCCUCGUAAUCUUGUCCCCUUGGAUUUAGAGGCGGGCGCCUUUCCCUUCCGACACGUAUUUGCCGCAGCCUCUCCCCCGGCGUAAGUAAAUACUGCUUCCCAUGGACCCUAAACCAUGGCAUGUAUUCUGGAACGCACGCUAACUGAGGAACGAUGAUUUGUUCCCGAGUAGGUAGAUAUUCAUUCCGAUUUUCCCACAUUUCUAUGUACUCUGACCAGUAUAUAGUCCAAUCCGUAUUUAAUAGCCGAAGGUCGAUUUUGUGGUGCUCGUCAAACACCUCAGGGUCCGUAGGGAUCGUUUGUCUACAUCUAAACUGUCGUAGGACUCUGUCUGUCUGGUGGGGCUCCACGGUUGCAUAGUUGAUCAACACCACUUUCACGUGCCAAGCAUUCAGAUUUUGUAAAAACUCUUCCGGGAUUACUGCCCGGACUGCUGGAUCCUCGUAUGGUGUCCAUUGAAACUACAUGAACAUGAUAGAAAUAUUACAUAUAUACAUAAUACUAAAUACUAAAUAUCAAUCCACUAGCGAAUGUAUGGAAAUAUCUAUUUGCAAUAAUACUUACUUCUGCUUUCGACCGUUGCUCCAAUAGAAGCCGUAUAUCUUCAAGUUCAGACGGUAAUCCACGAUAACUUGUCGGAUGGUUCCACCUAAUUAAAUAAAUUUUUAGCAUACUUUUAUUCUUACAAAAUCUACAUAACAAUUUCAAAAUGUAAUAUAAAAUUUACCUCGUUACGAGUGGGAAUGUAUAUGGGUGGUUCACUCGAGGACGUAGAAAUGGAAGGUGAAACCGUACCUAUGAUUGCAGUAGUGACAGGCAACCUCCGAUUUUUACUCUCCUCGGUUUGGUCGCCCCGCACAUCUCCCGAUAUAAUGUUGCCAAGACGGCAGACCCCCAACUAAAUUCACCGGCUGCUCUAAAAUCAACGAGUUUUAGCAGCCACCUUAGAUGUACACGGCUCCGUGACGUGUCGGCCAUCAGAUAGCCUCCAAUUAUUUGAAGAAUGUAUGAUUGGGCAUAUCGAAUUCUUUCAAUUUCGGUUGAAUUUGCAUUCAAAUUGGGGAAGGUGGCACGUAACCAGCCCAUCUCCACCUUACCUCGAUCCAUUUUAUCCGGAACAGCGCCCAAAAGCUCGUAGCACACCGCCUCCCAAUUGCUAGAUUGGGCAGACCCGGUGACUGGGUGCCCGUCCACCGGCAAUCCCAAAUGCAGAUGGACAUCUUCUAGAGUGAUAGUGCACUCUCCAUAUGGAAGAUGAAAUGUGUGCGUCUCGGGUCUCCACCUCUCGAUGAGCGCACUGAUCAGUUUCGGCUCCAACUUGCAUCCCCGGCCUACCAUCGCCACGUGCCAAAAUCCCGCUUCCCACAGGUAGUUCUCUACUAACGGUGAUGGAGGACCAUGCAUAUUCCGAAUAUUGCAUUCCAAUACCCGAUCUUCAGACUUUUAUAACAAAAAAUAAAUUAAUAUUUAACUAAAAAUACAUAAAUAAAAAUAUCUUAAAUAAAAUUUAAAAUUUAAAUUUAAUACUUACCAUUUUCAUUUGCUCCACCGAUAUGUGAUUCCUAUCAAGACGAAUCAAUGAUUCGACCAUUGUUGAAAAUAUUAAAAAUUUUAAAAUUAUUUUAAAAAAAUAAAAAUAUUUAAAAUUUUCUUAAAAAAAAUGAAAUUGAAUGGAAAAAGAAAUUUAAUAUGGAGUUGAGAGAUUUUUUGAAGGAAAUUGUGAGGAUUUUGGAAGGAAUUUGAGAGUUUAAGAGAAUUUUGGAAGGAAUUUGAGAGAAUUUUUGAAUGAAAUUGAGAUGGGAUUUGUUUGUGAAAAAAUAAGGGGUAGGGGGUUUUAUAGUAAAAAAAAUCUGACCGUUGGGGGGGCAACGGUCAAAAAUUUGACCUGGGGAACUGUUCACGCGCGCUUGUUAGCGCGUCCACGUCAGCACGACCUGUCACGUACCCUGGCAUCGCGCUUAUGUGGCAGCGAUUUCUAGAAAAAUGGCCCAUUCCGGUAAAUAAUUAAAAAACCGGCCUAUUUCGAAAAAUUUAAAAAAAAGGGCUUUUUUUAGUGUUUUCCCCUCACUACCAUACAUUUGUCUCAAUCUAACUAAUUUAUCAAAUAAAAAUCUCAUAAUAUUAUUAUUUAAUUAACAAUUAUCUUUUACUAAAUUUUCAAGUAAAUAAAUAAAUGUAGUACACUUGUAUUUUAUUUUUACCACACACUUGGCAAAAUCAUAAUUUAUUAUUAUCCAAAAAUCUUAUACUAAUUAUUUAAUUAUUAAAUAUCUUUUAACUUAAUAAUAACUAAUAACUAAUAAUAAAUAAUAAAUAUCUUAUACUAAUUAAUAAGCAAAUUAAAUCUAUAAACUACAAAUAUAUACAUACUUUAAUUACACAUGUAUUAUUUAUCAUCAUACAUUUGGCAUAUUUUGAUUUAUUUAAUAAUAUAAUAUCAUUAUAAUUUAAUUAUCAUAAAUUCAUAUAAUAUAAAUUAUAUUUAAAUAUUAUUAAUUAUAUAAUUAAACAAAUAAAAUCUUAAAUUUUAUUCCUUUAUGUUGCCUCAACCAUUUUAAAUGGCUUAAUUGCCAUUUUAGCCCCUUUUACUUUCUUUCAAUCUAUGAUUAAACUUUCACUCUUUAUUCAAUUUGAUCAUUUUCCCUAAUUAUUCUUAAUCAGACUAAAUUCACCUAUCUAAAACCUAUUUAAACACACAACUAGUCUAGUAAAUAUUUCUAAUAAUUAUUUUAAAACUCAAUUUACUAAGAUGGAGAGGCCCGAUAUUAUACUUUUUCGAUGCCCAUGAAUUUUGGGUCAUUACAGUCAGACAAGAAAGAUAUCUGGUAUGAGCUCACAAUUUCCAAGUCUAUUCCGAGCAACUCCAAGAACCAAAGCCAUGAUGCUUGGUUUUCACUUUCGACAGCAACAUAUGCAAUAGGAUAGAUGCCAUUAUUUGCAUUUAUCCCAAUAGCUGCAAGUAAGUAGCCACCAUAGUAGCCCUUCAAGAAACAUCCAUCUAAACCCACUAUCCUUCUACAACCACGCCUAUGGCCAUCUUUGCAUGCCUGCAGAUAGACAUAUAUCCUUUGAAACAACCUAUUAUCCAAAUAACAGAUUGUUGUUGUUCCCUCAUUUUGGGUCCUAACCUCCAACAAAUACUCACAAAUCUUCUCAUAUUGAGCCUUAUGAGCUCUUUCUAUUAAUUCCAAUACCCUAAGUUUAGCCCUCCUACAUUUGGUUAGUGAGACUAUGCAACAUAAAUCUCUUUUGACAUCUUGUUGUAAUGAUUUUAGAGAAUAAUCAGGAUCAGCAAUGAAUUUUUCUUUAUCAUGUUGACCUAUCCAAGCUGUGGUUACAUUCUUAUUUUUAUAAACUUUAGAAAAAAAUAUGGUUACGGUUUGAACUCUUAAUUUGCCAAGUCUGGUCAAUAGGGUUAUUAGGGUUUAAUCUAGCGACCCAUAUGAACCAAGAACAUUUUUCACUGCAAACUGCCUUUAAUAUUUUAGAUCAUUUUUUGGAAACUUAAUAAAAUAACUAUUCAACCUACCAUACUACUUGGUAACUUCUUUUAGACUGUCUUUGGACUUAAAUAACAUUCCAACCUUAAGUCUAGAAUUACUCAUGUCAUUUUCUGGGUUGAACUGAAGCCAAUUUUGGCCAUCUGAGUCAGAUUCAUGUGCAUUAUCUAACCUCCCAUAAUUAUCACUAUCACACAGUUCACCUACUUCUAUAUCAUCCAUGUUUAAACCAUUUAAAUUAACUUUUAUCCUAUUAGACACAUCAUUACCAGACGCAUCAAUUUCAAACAUUUCUUCUUCACUCUCAUUAAAAUUGUCAUCAAUUAAACCUGCCAAACAAAUUACUCAUCAAUAAAGGUAGACAACAACCAAACCAUUUAAUACAACAUAGGCAAACACUUUAACCAUUUCUAUCAGAAGAUAACCAAUACAAAAAUAAUUUAAUACAAACACAACCAUUUCUAUCAUGCACAUGACAGACAAUAACUAAACACUUUAACCCUACACGUAGGUAAUAGCAAACAAUAACCAAUACAAUAUAGAAGGUAAAUAACAAAUUUGGUAUUGUCAUUCAUACAAUAUAGCAACUAGGUUACAAACAAUGGCAGAUAUAAGCAAUAAACAUUAGUUUGAUAAUGCCAUUCAUACAAUGGUAGAUACAAACAAUAAAUAUCAGUUUGAUACAAACAAUAAACAUCAUGCACAUGGCAUACUAUACACAUUAUAUGCUAUUCACUUUAAUAACCAAACCCUAAUUUGUCAUGCACAUUAAUAAAAAAUGAAACCAAAAUUGAAAUAACCCUAAAUUCAAAAUUAAAAUAACCCAAAAUAACCUUACAUCGAAAUAACCAUAAAUCUAAAAUCAAAAUCAAAAUAACCCUAAAUUCAAAAAAAUAAAAAAACUAAAUGUAGAAACUUACCCGUUAUAGUGGAUGUAACAACAUUGGCAGCUUCUCUUCUAUUGACCAUUGUCGCUGAGAACCAAAAACACUGAUAGGUUUUUAGUUUUACCUUCUUUUCUCCCCAAACAAAAAAGACCAAACCCUAUACCCUGUUAAUCGAUUGUCGAAUCAAUAUCUAAACCAACCUUGUUAAUCGAUUUUCAAAUCAGUUUCAAACCCAAACCAACCCAAAUCACAAUCAAUUUUUUCCCAAAUCGAAUUUUUUUCCUCCUCUCCUUAAUCACAACCAGUUUCUAAUUUUUUGCCGUAAACCAACAUAUCCCUUCAAUUUUUUCCCUAAACCCGCCCCAAACCAAGACCCAUCAGCUGCUUCACCAACGUGGCAAGUUAACUGGCCACAUCAGCUAGUUAACUUGCCACAUCAAUGGUCCCAUUAAGGCACUAACGGAAAUUAUUAACCAGUGAUUAUUUUGACACUUUUUUAUAAUGUUAGUGACUGUUUUGUCAUUUUUCAAAAGUUGAGUGACUGAAAUAAAACUUAAGUGAUUGUUUUGUUAGCUACUCUAAAGUUGAGUGAUUGUUGGUAUAAUUUACCCUAAUCCGAAUUUAACGUAAAAUUAAAUUUUAAUGUAUGAAGGAUCCUUUAUUUUAUUAAAUUAAAGAAUGUGGGCAGUGGUAGAGGUAGGUGUAUGUAUCAUUUUCUCAUCCAUCACGGGUUGAGAAAUUUCCAUCUCUGCUCUUAAUUACACAAUCUGAAGCACUUGCUUUCAACAAGUAGUUCCAAUCGAUUCACAACAAAGUUUGAAUAGAACUCAGUUGUGCACGGAAACUCUUGCCUCGUGUCUAGUCCCCCCGUAUUACACGCGAAACCAUGAACCAUUGGUGAGUGAUGUGGCAGCUUAUGUGUCUAGUUCAUUCCAUCCCACCCAUCCAUUUUUCCUACUUAAAAAUUACAAUAUCCGUCUCGAAGGUUGUUGUCUCUAUUUCCAUCUUCAACGUCUGGCUGGUCUAAUGCAACGAUUGACAUCGGCGCUUCAUUGGUUCUACUACUACUACCAGGGACGCUUAUACUUGAAUCAUCAAAUAAGUUACGGUUUGGGACAUUCCAUGGCGUAUCGUUCUUGAUAGGAUAUUUGUAUAACAACUAUCCACUUUCCUGAAAUUACUUUAUAAACCUAGUCGCCUACCUACACUUGAGAUCUUGAUCCCUAUGUUAAUUAAUGAAAGAUGAACAGUCCUCAGGUCCAUCGAAGGCUCUGCAUUUCAUUCUGUAUGAAAAGUUUGACCCAAUUAAGGAUCAAGUUCAUCGCUAGCUUUCGUCUCACUGCAAUGGCCUAUACAGGAGUGUCCCAAAACCCAAAGUUGUAGAGGCCCCUUUUCUUGUUCUUACUUGUUGGGCUUGGGUUUAUUUGUUUGAGAUUGAGAAUGCAGUGAAUGCUGCCUGUGACCUUACUUACCUUGUUAAACUAAUAUUCCCCCAUUUUCUUGCUUGAAUUUUUUUUAAAAAUAUGUGAUUGUAAUAAUAUAUUCAGCUUUGUUUCUCUUUUUUGCUUUUGGUAAUUCAGUACUGCUAUUACCAUGCAUUCGUUUUCUAGACUGCCUUUCACUAUUGCCAUGAAUGCACUCAACAGGGGGGCUUAAAUUAUUUAAUUGGAACUAUUACUUAGUGCCUUUCUCCCUUACAUUUGAUUAAGGGAACUCUAUUGUUUAAUGCUUUUCUUAAGUCAAAAGGAGAUAGCAUUAACAUUAUUGUAAUAACUAAUGGUCUUUGUUUUCAUAUAUUUAUAGUUUUGAUGACUGUUAAAAUACCUUACAUGUAGAACAGGAGGUUUGAAAUAGAAUUUUAGUGCACGAAGCAAGAAGCUUCUAUUUUGACUGCCAAACUGACUAGCAGUCAACCUACACGUCCAUCCUUUGUUUUUCUUCUAUCUAUACUCGUAUCUUUAAACGCAAACUUGUAUUCUUAAUACAUGAUUUUUAUACUUGUGAUAGAAUUUAUAGUAAUUUAUAAAAGCGAUUUUAAUAUUACGCGUCAGAAAAAUUGAAACUGUUAAUCCGGGGGUUCUUCCAUCUUCCUCUUCAUUUAAAAACUGCAAAAGGCUUAGGCUGGGGAGCAGAUAACUGAUUAGAUACUGAUAAUUUUAUAUGAAAUGGUAGGACAAUUCAUGAAUAUUAUAGUCAAUAGCACCCUUACUGGUCUGAAUUUACAAAAUCAUCCUUCUUCUGCUGAUAAUGACGAGGCAAGCUUAAUUCAGGAUUUUCAGUACAGGGAUGAGGGAGACUCCCUGUUCAAGUAGGAGUAGUUGGUGAUUUGUGUUAUCCUGUAUCAGAUGUUGAACCACACUAAUUACGACCAAUAUCUCAUGAUUGUAUGGUAACACCUUCAAACUACUUUACGUGUGAAGAAUUGAGAAAAGUUACUGUAGAUUUGGAAUUGUUGAACGAAAAUGAUGGGUGGCAAAAACUAGAAGAACCAACCCCAUCAUCCAUUUAUCAACGUAAUUUUUUUUGGGGGCAAAAACAAUAUUUCAUUUUCAGUUUCAGUUUGAAAAUGAUACUUGCAUGUAUAAAACUUGAUAAUUUAAGAGAAAAUCGUGGGGUUUUUUUUUGUUUUUUCUGUCAGCACACCAUUCGCAGGAAAAAAAGUACACAUUUUGCACCAAUCUUGCUGAUCCAUUUCAGCUUUCAGUUCAUCAGUGAAAAACAGUUUAUACAAGUCACAAUCCUUUACCAGCUACCAAUUUGACUUCCCUUUGCCCUAUCACCCUAAAAUUCUUCCUACUACCCUAGCUCACCUAACUCAUUUUUGUUUUAGGAUUACUGGUUUCAGAAGCAAACAAAAUUUCGUUUGCAAGGCCUUUUGUCAUAUAAUUAGGAUACAAAAUCCUGUGUGUUUCAAUUUUCGAAGAGGCUGAUCAAUUGGCACUUAGUUUGCUUAGUAAGAUAAAAAGAAAAAAAAAUGAAAAGAUUGUAAUUUGAGAUAGAAAAAAAAAAGAAUAAAAAUAAUUUCUUUUUCAUUCAAUGCUCGAUUAAGUUGAUAAAGAAAGAAGAGAAAAAGAAAGAAAAUGGAUGCAAUUAUUCUUCCAACACACCGUUUACUAGUUAAUACCCAUGCUAAGUUUCAUGUUUAUGGAAUCAAGAACGGCAUUCCCAAUCCACGCAAGUCUCAAUCAGACUGUUUCUUUUAUCCUGUUAAGCACUUGGGUUGAGAGAAAAGGAGAGUAAAACUCUAGCUUAAUUCAAUUGGAAGAGGAUGGAUGUUUGAAAUGUGAUCCCAAGUUUAUGUUACUACUCCAGUAGGGAGUUGUCAAACAAAUAAAGAUGAGGUGCAUUGUCGUCUUAACUGUGGCAGAAACAGACUUCCCACUCCAUGUUGCAAAGGCCUGCUAUUCUUCUCACCAAUCCCAGUCUGCUCCUUCUGGCAUCCACGGAGUUAACCACGUUAAUAACUUGGAUACUGUCACUCUCAACCAUUACUUUGCGUUGGCCUCAAUCCCCUGUAAUCCUUGGCAUAUAUAUAUUUAUUUAAUAUUAAUUAUUACUAAUCAAUAUAAAUAUAAAAUUAGGAUAAAUUUAUUUUAUUAAAUAUAAAUAUAAUUUUUAAUAGUUUUUAUUAUAUAUAAUCAUUUUAAUAUAAUGUUGAUUAUUUUUACGAUUAAAUUCAAACACAUAUAAAGUAAUUUGUCCUAAAAUAAUUAAUUUCACUACUUCCUUUAUUUUUAAUUUUUCGUUCAACUCAACCGUUAAACUAAACAGACCAAAUAGAAUUAGACGUGAUUGCAGUAAUACUUGGCCCUUAAAAAAGGUGUAAGCAAAGUCGUCUCAUCAUCUUCACAUGUUGCAAACCAUAUAAGAACAAAGUGAAGAAGACUAUAGACAUAUGCGUAAUAAUAAACAAAGACAACUUGUCCCUAUAAGAAGACCCUUUUUUUUUAUCUAUUUGCCAUUAGACUGUCGUUUUGGUCUUCACAAUUCAUACUCGUAUGAUUUGUCCAAUUGUGCUCGUGAAACAGAUAUGAAAAGUCAGACAGUCAAAUGCCAAAAUAAAAAAUAAUAAAAAAAUCACAAAUGGGUCCAAUAAAAUAGUAGUAUUCUGCUAUCAACUUAAUCAGUUUGAUUACUAUGAUUAAUCUCGUGGAUCGUCAAACAUGACCUUUUUUCUUGUUUAUUAGGAGAAAAAAAACUAUUGUUUAGUUUCAGUCUAAACCCAUGUUUGCCGCUGUCUAUAUAAUCAUCCUCCUACCUAGUAUACUCGUAAGCUAUCUUCAUCACAAAUUCAAUUCUCAAAUCAGCUUAGAGGUUUAUCCUUGCCUCUCCGACUGUAAUUAACCUGUUUUAAGUUGAGAAAUGGAUGUUUACAAGAGAGGUUUCAUAUCUGAAACUUCAAGAAGUGAAGAAGAGAUGGAGCUAAGGAAAGGUCCAUGGACUGAAGAAGAGGACUCCAUGCUUAGGGCGUAUGUCAAUAUCCACGGCGAAGGUCGCUGGAACGCUGUUGCUCGCUUAUCAGGUUAAUAUAUAUAGCGUAGUUUCUUUCCCUGGUUAUUGAAACAAAUUUGGUUUUAGCUUUUAUUCGUAAUUUCUCACAGUAUGAAAUGAAAUGUGCGCAGGAUUGAGAAGAACCGGUAAAAGCUGCAGAUUGAGAUGGCUGAACUAUAUGCGACCAGAAAUCAAACGAGGAAACAUCAGCCUCGAAGAGCAGCUAUUGAUUCUUGAACUCCAUUCUCGCUGGGGGAACAGGUUUUUUUGCUGGCUUUCCUCCUUCCUGCAAUUCAAUAAACAUAAGAAUGAUCUUAGGCUAAUCUUUUUGACCUUUUGAAACUGUGAAGGUGGUCGAAAAUUGCACAACACUUGCCUGGAAGAACAGACAAUGAAAUAAAGAAUUAUUGGAGAACAAGAGUCCAGAAGCAGGCCAAGCAGCUUAACUGUGACGUUAACAGCAAACAAUUCAAGGACGCCAUGCGUUACGUUUGGAUCCCCCGUUUAGUUGAACGGAUCCGUGCUUCAUCCGAGUCUCCCUCGAGUCAACCUUCUACCACCACCAACACCACCUACAAUGAUCGUAUCAGCAACAUAAGCAGCAGUCAAAUGAGCUACGCAAAUGCGAGUGGGUCGGUCCAGGUUGACCCAAGUCUUCUGCCCGAAUUAUCAGGCACGUCAUCAGACUCCCUUGACACCCAAGUCUCUUCCGUUUCGGACCUGACCGAUUGUUACAAUCCACAAAGCCUUUCAAACUACUUACACAAGGGGUUAGGUUUGGAAAAGGAGGGAGCGGCCACAUGGGGCAGAGAUGAAGAAUUCCAGGCGACAGAGGAGCAUAGCAAUGGUUGGUUGGUUGGUGGUGGGGAGUCAUCGAUGGACACUGUGUGGAAUGAAGAGAAUGUUUGGUUUUUACAGCAGCAGCUUCAUGAUGGGAUCUAACCACAUGAAUUCGCUAGCGUGACGGUUUCACUUUUUCUAUUUUAAACCAUUGUCCCCAUACUGUUAUCGGAUGAUGGAGAAUAUGAAAAACACAAGUUUCGACUAACAUCGCCAAAUGCACUGCCUUUAGAAUGUAAAUGAUUCACGCAACAUUGUCAGGGUUUAUAUGUAGCAUUAAUUAUUAGUGUGUUCUGAAGAAAUAUCUUUUGCUCUGCUCUAAUCUACUUUGUUUUUUCUUUUUAUCAUUAUUCGAGCAUUCAUAGUUUAAUUUUUAUUGAAAACAAAUUUUACUAGUGUUACACAAUUUGUCAAUGGAAAAUAUUUUAAGAUAUGAUGGUAGUAUUUAUAAAUACGUAUUUUAUUAUAUAUUUAACAUGUAUCAUACAAUAAAUUAAAUAAAAUUAGAUAAAAACACUCAUAAAAUAACAAUAAUAGUAUUUGAGUAAUAUGGCAGUUUAAUUUUUUCGAAAAAAGAGUGCUAAAUAAUCUAGUUUCUAUUAUAGGCAGAUGAAUUGGAAUUAGUUGUAUGAAAGCUUGAAAAAAUCUUUAGAAACUUGAUAAUAAUUAAAGAAGAGAAUUGCAUAGGUGUGGAAUAUCCUGGAAGUACAAUACAUAUAUAUCAUGUAUGUAUGCUUGUUUUCUUGGUUUGUCUCUAUAUGCAAAUGCAUGGUUUGACAGUUUGGGUGAGAAUGUGGGAUGAAAACUCUCCCUCCCCAACAUUGUCUGUGGAGACAGAUCCCAUGGAUCCUUCUUUUCUUUUGGCACAUUUUCUUAAUGUUUAUCCAAGCAAAGAAUUAGAUCUCGUGAGUCGUGACUGCUGCUGCAACUUGGAGAUUCUAGAAGAGGAACCUUUGUCAUUGGUUUAUUUAAUUUAAAAUUGGAAUCAAAAAGAAGAGGGGCCUAAAUAUUCAGAGGGGAAAAAAGGGUUCAUUUUGCAUCGGAUUUUCAACGGUAGCCGUAGGGUUCCAAGCACUAACUGCCGAAACCGUUGAAAUCAUGUCCAAUUCCAAAGGUCUAACCAGUCACCCCCAUUGAAUCAGUAGUCAACUCUAACUCCCAUCCAUGCCACCCUGCCAUUGAAUCUAUUCUUAUUCAAAUUUAUAUAUCUAGACUCAUUCCAUGUUGGAAACAAUCACACAUUCUCCACGCUAUGAGUCAUUGCAUGAUGGAAAAUUAAGUAACUAAAUGUGAACGUGGAUCGAAGAGAAUGGCAAGUUGGGAAAUACUAUUUAUCGGACAACAAAAACUCUUCAAUGCAUACACUAAACGAGCUGAUUAUUCCAAGCCAAAAUUUAAACAGUAGGCAGGCACCCAUUGGUGCUAGGCUUGACUCUUAUAGCCUUUCCCCUAAUUAUAGGGUGAGAUAAUUAUUAAUCAUAUUGAAAAUUGAAGGGAAAGCCAAGGCCUUGGUCUUUUUUCCCCCAGAUGCAGUAGCCAAUUGUUUUAUAAGUUGCUUCCUUCCAAGUAAACGUUUUAGUGGAGUUUAGAAAUUGAAUUGUGGGCUGAAAAUGAUUCUCUCUUUCUAUCACGAUGCUGUCACUGCUUACCUCAGCCUGCUGCCCGCGUUUUUGUUUUAGAGAUAAAUGUCAUAUUUUAUACCCAUAUUUUUUUAAAUGUUGAAUUUUCAAUUUGUAUACUAUUUGGUACUUAUGUUUUCAUAAAAUAUUUAAUAUGAUACAUGAAAUAUCAAUUUCUAUAUUAUUGUGGUAUCUAAAGUUAGCAUUGUUAGUAAAUACUAAAUCAACCUAUUAAAAUUCAACACGUGAAAACUUUCUUCUUUUCGAAUCAUCAAUUCUACAUAGAUAAUAUAUUAUUAAAUAAAACAAAAAGAUUAACCUAUAUUAAAUUUUAAAAAAUAACUAAACUUAAACCUUUUAAAGUUAAACCAUGUUGUUUAUGUUUAGUUAUUUUUUAAAUUUAAUUUCUAACAUAAUGUUAUAUUAUCUAUAUGAAAUUGAUGAUUUGAGAAAUCAAUCCAUGUGUCGAAUUUUCAUUUAGUAAAAGUGGUAACUCCAAGGACAAUGAUAAUACAUAGAUUAAUAGUUCAGGCACUACAUUAAACAUCUUCAAAGUACAAGUAUUAUAUUAAACAUUUUAUAAGAAUAUAAAUACCAAAUAAUAUAUAAAAUAAUAGUUUAAGUACCACAUUACGCAUUUUCAAAGUGCAAAUAACAUUAUCUUAUUAUAUUUUUGUUAUCGGCCCGUUCGCAUUUGGGCGAUUAUUGAGAUUGAGCCCAUUAAUCUGCCCAUCAAAACGCCUGCCUUUAAAUUGGGUUUCAUGAGCUUGGAUCAUCAGACCUGACCCUGCUCAUUCUCUACUCCGUUAUAUCACUGACUCACUUCACCAGCAAUAAACUCCACUUAACUCGCCUCCAUUUAUAUAACUAAUUAUAUGGAAAAUAUUUAUAUAUUGUAUAUUACUAUUAUUAUCAUUAACACGUCUAAGACCCAUUAUUUAAUUCUGAAAAUUAAACUAAUUUUGAUUACUAAUAAUAAUUCAAAAGUUUUUAAUAAAACAUUAACAUGUAGCCGUAGGGACAUGCAAAUUAGACCUGUCCAUGGGUCGGGCGGCCCAGCCCGACGGCCCGCCCGAAUUAUGUGAGGGUUUUGGUAAAAAUAUAGGCCCGAAAUAUGGGCUCGGGCAAAAAUUUAGGCCAGUUUAAAAAAUGGGCCGGGCCUCGGGCAAGAUUUUUUUGGCCCGGGCCUGGCCCGGCCCGGAAAAUAUUAAAUAUAUAUAUUUUUAUUUUUAAAAUAUAAUAGUUUUUUAUUUUAAGUUUAUUUACUUUCAUUUCCUUGACUAGUGUUACAAAAUAAUAAUAAUAAACAAUCAAGUUUGUUUUAUACAAUUAAUAAUUUGAUAAAUUUACUAAUCAAAUGUUAGAUUUUAUUACAACAAUUAAUACAAUUAACAAUUAAUAAUUUGAUAAUUUUACUAACAAUUAAUUUUAAUUUAAUUAAAAAUGGGCCGGGCCGGGCCGGACUUGGGCCCCAUAUUUUUUCUCCAGGCCGGGCCUGGGCAAAAUCUCAAGCCCAUGUUUUUCGGCCGGGCAUGUGCCUAGUAAACGGGCUGAAAUUUUUUUUGAACCCGGCCCGACCCGGCUCAUGGACAGGUCUAAUGCAAAUUAAGGUCCCAUGGUGGCUAAGAAAGUUCAUCUUUAAUUUUUAGGACUUUCCAAUAUUUUUAUUUACUUUAUUUAAAACAUUAAUAAAAUGUUUCAUAAUAUAUAAAAAUCACAUACCGUCAGUUUCAAAAAGAAAAAUGACAUGCUGUCAAAUGUCAAUGUAAGCUUAUAUAGGGACUGGGAACAACUGAAUCCUAAUCUAGUUAUGAUCAAGGGUUAGAUAAAGGCUGUGUUACUUCUUUCGGGGGUCUUUGUUUAUAUUUCAGCUUCUUUUUUCUGUUAAAAACACAUACAUCAGCUACCAUCUGAUCUGAAAUUAAUUAAUUUUUGUUUCCAGGUUCCUUGUUAUAAAUUAUACAAGAAUGUCAUACACUUAAUUCUUUACUCAGAGUAAUGCAGAAAGGAGAAAAAGGAAAAAGACCAAGAAAGUAAACACCAUACGUAGGGCUGGGUUGUCAAGGCCAUAUGCAAGGGUGAUGAGCUAUUUUCCAAGUGUGGGCAUCCUCCUCCUUGCCAGUGGGCAUCCAAAUGCAGCCUUGGUGUCUCACAUCAUGGUUACUGUCUUCAAUCUCUACCUUGUUCGACAAAAGAUCAUGAUUUUGGCAUCUGAUCAUAAGCGCCUUCGCUAACAAAAUUAAAGAAGCCAUGCUUUCCUCAAUUGCGUCCCGGGCAUAUAUAACACACUAUCAACCAACGUCAUUUCUAAUUAGCUUCUCAGCCACUCCCCUAAUAUAAAAUCCUUAUCUCCUUAACUACUCAUUUGAAUUUGGCCAACCAUAUUAGUGCAAGCAAAUCCGAAUUUAUUCCCAAAAGGAAAAGACUGUGAAUCAAAUAAUUUGGUUGGCUGGUAAGAAAUAGAGUUGGUAAACUGUUUAUGUACUGCUUUGCUUUGUUUAAAAUUAUAAGAGAGCUACUUUUUCAUAAACAAAUUGUAAGUUGGACGUCAGAUAUAUUCAUGCCAUUGGUGCCAGUGUCAAGGGUUCUGAUCUGAUCACGUAAUUUACAUUAGUCAAUGAGCGUUGGACGACUGCCUCACACAACUUUUUGUAGUUUGAAAAUAUAUAUACAGGUGGGAAUCAAAAUUUAUCAUGGUUCGCCUACUCACAAAAUUACCCUACAUAAAUUAAAAUUAAAUAAGCAUAUGAGUCCCAUGCAAGAUAAUUAACAUCAUAUUGGUGGGUAUAUCGUUUUUUUUUACUAAAAUCGGUACGUAUUAAUAUUGAUCUAUUUCGAUGUAUCAUUUUAAUUUUAUCGAUAUUUAAAAAAUACUUAAUAUAUAAAUAUAUUUGUAAAUAUCAAAUUAAUGAUAAUAAAUUUCAAAUAUAAAACAUUAUCAAUUAUAUAAAUGGCUCAUUAAUAAACUUAACAAAUAGAAAUCUAUCAAAUUCAAAAUUAAUAAUAAAAAUCCAUCAUUCAAUAUGAAAUUUUAAGGAUUUAGCUCUUUUAAUUUUAUUUUUUUGAUAAAAGAAGUGUUGGCCAAUAUAUAUUUUUUAAAUUGGGUGAAUAACUUUUUAUUAUAUUUUAAAUGCGAAAGAAUGUUUUUUUUUUUCAAAACUUUACAUGCCGGUAGUAUGUUAUUGGCUACAUCCAAUUAAGUUUUUAGCAUAAUAGUAAAUAAUUAAAAAAAUAAUUUUUAAUAUUAUUCAUGCUUUAAUAGGUACACCAUAUUUCAACCAAUGUGAUUGAAAUUAACCGAAACGAGUCAAUGUAAUUGAUUUAGACUGCAAAUUUUACCAAAAUAGAAAGAAAUAUUAAUGAUUUCGAUUUAACACCAAAAUAGUCCACAGUGAUCAACAAUACUAAAAUCGAUGUGAAACCUACCACGAUGACCAUAAAAUCAUAUCAUAAUGGGUAUGAUCAUAGAUUUUUGUCAUUUUUAUUAUGAAGAAAAAGAGCUCGCUGUUUGAUAAGUUAACUAAGUGAUAUAGUCACUUAGCGAAUGUCUAUCAACUAUAUCCUCUCUUUUUCAUGAAAAACCAUCAGGGUUUUGUAGGCUUUAUUAUUAUUAUUAUUAUAUAUGAAAUAAAAAAAUUUAUUUAGCAAAAUAGAUUGAUUGAAACUAUUUAGCAUCAUGGUUGAAAUCAGCACCUGAAGUACCCGACUUCAAAAUUAGAAUAUGCUAUACAAAUUUUUUGGUGCUCAUAUGAAAAAUGACACCCACAAAAGAAAUUGAUUUUGAAAUCAAAAUUUAAUAAAAAAAAUUUGAUUCUGUUACUGACUCGAAUUUAAAUUAAUUAUUUUUUAUUCUGUUCUUGAAUCGAAUCUAAAUUUAAUAAGAAUAUUUUUGAAAAUACUUCAAGUUAAGGUAAAGCGAUUGAGUCAGAACCCAUUAGAUUCAAGUCUUUUUUGCCAGUUGAAUAAUUUAGCUCAAAUGACUUAUUAUCCAAUCAAGCUAUAUGUCUAAAUUAAACAAUGAAAUCAAAGUUUAGAUCUCCUUCAAUAAAAUGUCCAGCAAAAUUAAUUUUUCUAAUUUUUUUUUAUCAUUAGAGAAGGGAUGAUUAGAUAAAAAAAUUUUUAUCAAAGUUUAGAAGAUGAAGCAAGUUGAUGAUGGGUUAUGAGCUUCGAAGUGUGGGGCACCCAACCCAUAGGAGGCUAUAUAUUCCGCCAAGCGAUCUAAUCGACGGUGUCUUUCCAGCGGUGAACUACGCAGGCACAAUGCUUUGGAGUAGAUAUUUUGAUGAUCAUUAUACUCCCACAUAUCCGCAACAACAAACAUGUACUACUUUCCUCUUAAUGGACCGGGUUUAGAUUGAAUAUAUUAGUUCUCUAUGUAUAAAAUUUAUUCGGUUUGUAUCACUCAAUUAUAUUCUUUUUUACGUUUUAUAUUAAUAAAAUAGAGUUCGAACCAAAUUAAUUUUUUAUUAAAUAGAUUAAUCUAAUCUUUUUACUAUUAAAAAGAGAUUAAUAUUUAUUUUUUAGUUUAAAUUCAAAUAAAAUAUUUUAUUUAUAAAAUCAUAAAAAUUUUAAGAAUAUUAACAAUUAAAUAAUAAAUGAUAUAUUUUAAAAAUAAUAAAGGUUAACUCUACAGAUUGAUUUCUUUUUAGUGCUAGCUGCUAGAGAAGGCUAUCCUCGUAACCUUCCAAAAUAGAAGUUGAUGCUGAAUAUAAAGAUCUCCUUUUCAUAUCAUUUUACUUUGGACAGUAGGUAGCCUAAUUUUCAAGUACACUUCUUACAUGAAAACAUAUCCACUAAGCCAACCUUUACAUUAAUACCGCCUGUUGUCCGUCCAUAUAAAGAUAUCAGAAUAGCCAGGUCUUGCCUCACAUACAUAUAUAGAGGUUAAAACAUGUUGUUAGUCCUGUAUUUUGAUAAAAUUUGAGGUUUAGUCCUUAAGCUAAAAAAGUUAAAAAUUAAUUACUACCUUUUUUCAUUUAAAAUUUCAGUCCAGUCAUUAAUAUAAUAAGUACUUUCUAUCAAAAUUUGUCAAUUUAGAGUUUGAUUUGGUUGCCCUCAUAUAAUGUGGCAUAUGGUUGAUAAAAAAUAAAUAUAUUAAAUUGACAAAAACUACCAACGAAGAUUAUGAUUGGACUAAGAUUUUUAAAUUGAAAAAGUAGGAGAAUUGAACUUUUAAUGUUUAAAGUAUAGGGACCAAAUCUCAAAUCCUAUACAAGUACAGGGACUAACAACAUUUUUCAACCAUAUAUAUAUGUAUGCUUGUGUGCGAGCGAUGAUCAGCUUAAAAAAUGGGCUUAUGCUAAAUACAUCUAGAGGAUGCCAAAACAUUGAAAAAACUUGUAUUAGUCAUUUUAUUGAAUAAGUUCUCCUUUUAAAUCCUUUUGACUGUUCUACUUUUUGUUAAUCCUUACACAACAACUAUAUGGAAUAAACAAAUACACAACCACAGGUCUAUAAAUGAAGCUUUUAACUUCUGUCUCUCAAUCUGAUCAGUUUUUAGAUGAGAAAUAAUUCAGCUUUAGAUCAAAAUUCAUCCACUAGUUUUAUCAUUUUGUAUUUGUUCUACAUUAUGUUAAGAAAGAAACCGACAUUUUAGAAAAUUAUAAAAACAAAAGAACAAAAAUGGAUAUUCCAACCUUACAUUUUGAAGGUUUGAAUUACUAUUUCCAGGAAGGAUUCUUAUUAAGCUUUGGCCUGCAUUGCAACAGGAGACCAGCAGUAGUUCAGCACAACACCAGUAGUAAAACUUUUUGAAGUGCAGUAAUGGAGCUGAACCAAAUGCAACAAUAUGUUUUGAUCAUUUUGUUCCUAUGUAACUUUGGUUAGUUCAUUUGUAAUUUGUUCACAAAGUUAGUAGGAUUAGUUUAUGAUUUGAGUUGAUGUAAUAGCUGAUCAGCUAUCUUUUGUGUGUAAUUCAAGCAAAUUUUAGUCUUGUAUUAGUGGGAGCAGUUAAGUCAUUAGGUAACUGCCCAUUACUUUGUAACUCAUAUAUUAUUCAAAUUUUGAAUGAAAAAUUAAGGUGAAUUUUUCAGUUAUCAUUCUCCCAAUUGUUUUCAUUUUGUUUAUGCUUCGAUUUCUUUGCUUGGUCUGCUGCUUUUGUUUUUGUUUUAUUGCUUAAGUUCCAACAAAUGGUAAUUAAAGCCUGUCAUCUUUGAGGGCCUCUGUUGUUGGUUGUUUUUAGCCACAACAAAACUUGAAAGAGAGAGAAAUCAAAGCUGUUGGGUUUGUUUCAGCAGGAUGAGCUUCACACCACCUCCACCACCUGUGUUCACUGGAGAGAACUACCACAUUUGGGUAGUUAAGAUGAGAACAUACCUUCAAGCGCACGAUUUGUGGAAUGUGGUUGAAAAUGAUACUGAACCACCUCCAUUGAGGGCCAAUCCCACCAUUUCUCAGAUCAGGCAACAUAGUGAAGAGUGCUCCAAGAAGCAUAAAGCAAUGGCCUGCUUGCAGAAUGGAGUAUCAUAUGUUAUCUUCACUAGGAUAAUGGCCUGGGACUCACCCAAGUGGGCAUGAGAGAAGUUAAAGGACGAGUUCAUGGGGUCAGACAAAACAAGGCAACAACAAGUAAUUAAUCUCAGGAGAGAUUUUGAGAAUUUGAAUAUGAAAGAGUCAGAGACUAUCAAGCAGUACUCAGACAGAAUAAUGGCCACUGUUAACAGCAUUAGGCUCAUUGGAGAAGACUUCAGUGAGAGCAGAGUUGUUGAAAAGGUCAUCACCACUCUCCCUGAGAAGUUUGAGUCAAAGAUUUCAUCACUUGAGGACUCGAGAGACUUGUCAGCUAUCUCAUUGUCUGAGCUGAUAAACUCUCUGUAUGCACUUGAACAAAUGAGGGCCAAUAGGCAAGAAGAGCAUCCUGAAGGAGCUUUCUAAGUAAAGGCCAGAGUAGGCUCAGGUUCAAAUUUGAAAGGGAAGAAGCCUUGGCUCGAUAAAAGGGAGAAAUCAAGGAGAGAUGCAGGCAAGAAAGUGUUCCCACCAUGCAUUCACUACAAGAAGACCACACAUUUGGAGAGGUACUAUUGGUACAAGCCAAACAUUCAGUGCAGAAGCUGCAAACAAUUUGGCCAUGUUGAGAAAGUGUACAGAAGCAAGGGGAAGGAACCUAUUCAGUAGCAAGCUCAAGCUGCUAAGGAUCUUCAAGAUUAAGAGGAGCAUGUUUUCACAGCUUCCUGCUUUGCAAGCUCAAGCUCUAGCAAAAUCAGAUGUGACUAGCUAGUAGACAGUGGUUGCUCACACCAUAUGACAGCUGAUGAAAAGCUGUUCAAGGAGCUUAAUAGGAGUUUUGUUGUAAAUAUCAGAAUUGGUAAUGGCAAUCUGAUUUGAGCUCAAGGCAAAGAAGAUGUUGUGAUCAACAUAUGUUCAGGUAACAAAAUCAUUUCUAAUGUGUUUUUUGUGCCUGACAUAGAUCAGAAUAUGCUUAGUGUUGGUCAGUUACCGGAAAAAUGGUACUCAUUGGUCUUUAAAGAUGGUUCCUGCAUUGUUAAAGACUCAUUUGGUCAGGAGUUAGUCAUAGUAGUAAUGACAGAUAGAUGCUUUAUGCUCGAUGUGAAUCAACUCGAGAAGAAGGCUUACACUAGUCUUGCUAAUAACACUGUUCUUUGGCAUAGGAGACUGGGCCAUGUCAAUUUUAGAUCACUUGAUUUGUUGCACAAGCUAAAUUUGGUAGAUGAUAAGUCAAAAUUUGAAUCAAGAGACAUUGUUUGUGAAGUUUGUCAGCUUAGUAAGCAGGCUAGAUUGCCUUUUCCAGCUAACAAUGCAUGGAGAGCGCGAGAAAAGCUUGAAUUAGUUUAUUCUGAUAUUUGUGGACCAAUGAAGACUCCUUCAUUGAAUGAUAAUAAGUAUUUUGUUCUGUUCAUAGAUGACUUAACCAGGUUUUGUUAGAUUUAUUUCUUGAGGCAGAAAUUUGAAGUGUUUCUGAUAGAUUUAAAGCCUUAGUUGAAAACCAUACUGGCUGUAAGAUCAAAGUCUUGAGAACUGAUAAUGGUAUUGAGUAUUUGUCUGAUAGAUUUCAGAAGCUGUGUGAGCAAGUUAGGAUUCAUCAUCAGCUAACUACAGUUUAUACUCCUCAACAGAAUGGAGUAUGUGAGAGGAAAAAUAGAACUAUGCUUGAUAUGGCCAGAUGUUUGUUAUUUCAGAGUAAGUUUCCAAGCAAAUUUUGGG
rnacentral:lncRNA from 1 species